UACGGGGGGAGCAAGCGUUGUUCGGAUUUAUUGGGCGUAAAGAGCUCGUAGGCGGUCUGUCGCGUCUGCUGUGAAAACUCAGGGCUUAACCCUGAGCUUGCAGUGGGUACGGGCAGACUAGAGUGCGGUAGGGGAGACUGGAAUUCCUGGUGUAGCGGUGAAAUGCGCAGAUAUCAGGAGGAACACCGAUGGCGAAGGCAGGUCUCUGGGCAUUAACUGACGCUGAGGAGCGAAAGCAUGGGGAGCGAACAGG
rnacentral:rRNA from 1 species